rnacentral:misc_RNA from 1 species
AAAGUCGUAACAAGGUUUCCGUAGGUGAACCUGCGGAAGGAUCAUUACCGAGUUAGGCCCUCACAGGCCAAAUCUCACACCCUAACUUAUACUACUUAUGUUGCUUUGGCGGGCCGCUCAGGCACCAGCUUCGGCUGGUGCCAGGGCCAUCGGCUUUGGCUGAUGAGCGCCCGCCAGGGGAAAAAACCUAUAACUUGAUAUCUAGAAGAUUGUCUGAAAAAAUAAAUUAUUACAACUUUCAACAACGGAUCUCUUGGCUCUG